GGAAGACGUUCGGUGACUUGAUGAGAGGUAUCAGUAGCUUCCCAAUGCUUAAUUCAUGCACUUAUCACCCCCCAUACACCUGCAGAGAAACGGAAUGCCAGGGACCAGUGUGGGAGUGACUAGUGCGCAAUACAGAAGCUCUGUGGCAUGAAAUAAAAUUCACUUGAAUCACCUCAGCGUGCACCUGCACGAGAAACUACAAGAAAGACAGAGAAGAGGCAGAAUUCAGAGUGGGGUAGGGAUGUAUGAGGGACAGAAUGGAGCAGAGGAGAGAGCCAAGAGGGGAGAUGGAACGAGAAAAGGAGAGAGGAGAGCAGAGUGAAACAGAGGAAAGGCGAGAGCCACGAGGGGAGAUAAAAGGAGAGGAGUGAGUAGUAAGUCCAUGUGCGCACCACCGGCAAUCCGGAUAGGACCCAAAGUGUCUUGAAAUUGACAGACUGAAGCCGUGGCUAUAUAAUACACCACAUGGUAUUGCUCCAGCCACCAGUAAUUCCACUAAACUACACUCUACAUAAUUACAGCUGGACUAUAUUAACCGGCACCCAGGGACAGGGCGCCACAUGGAAAGUAUGAGGGCUCAUGCAAUGCUGGCAAAAGGUUCCUCAGUCAUGGUUGAGUGCUUGAGUGCUUGAGCACGAGGCCGUCAUUGGGGGUUUUAAAUGUCUGCUCCAUCUAACAAAGCGGGAGCAGGCCCAUCACACAAACUUCCCAAAACUGCUGGACCUUGCUGAAUUGCUGGGUUGCUUGUGACUAUUUCACAAAGCUCAAGAUUGACAGGAACACAAACUACAGGUCCCACAUAAUAGUGCACGAAAUGUUGAAGAUUCUGGCUCAACUUGUGGAGGAGCCUAUCCUCCAUGUCAUGACAUCCAGACAUCAGUAGCCAUUGGCCUGGACGCUGAUGAAACUACAGAAAUGGCAACUAAUAAGCAGCUGGAUUUACAUGUCAGAUACAUGGACCAAGAGGUUCAACUUUACAACCAGUUCCUGGACCUGGUGUCAGUCCCUGAUGGCAAGGCAGACACCAUCAUUGCUGCCAUCGAGGAGGUGCUGCACAUCAAAAAGAUACCAACAGAGAGAUUGUACGGCCUGGGCACUGAUGGGGCUGCAGUGAUGACUGGUAUGGACACAACACAAAGUCUUAGAAUUACUAUUUUUACGGUAGUUCUUGUGAUACAAAUAAUUUCCCUCGUCUUCGAACACGACAACAUAGUGGUGUGGCAAAACAGCUAAAGGAUGCCUUCCCGUGGAUGGUGUCUGUGGCUUGUGCUGCCCACCGCCUUGCUCUGGCCUGUAAAGAUGCAUCAGCUGAGGUCUCCUAUAUGGACACUUUCAAGGAGCACCUGCAGCAGCUUCAUAGUUAAUUUGCCAAAAGCAGUAAGAAGACAGAAGUCUUAAAAGCUGCUUCAGCGAAAGGAAGUGAAGAAUGUUCGCUGGCUGUCCCAGCACCUGGCCGUGGCUAAUCUUCAGCGAAACCUCAGCGCAGUGUUGGCUGCAUAGUCUGAGGAGGUGGAGGUGAACAGGUGACCAACUGCUUAGGGCCUCUAUGCUUUCUGUGCCACCUGCAGCACUUUACCUGCAGGCGGACAUGCUGCCUCACCUGGCAUGGCUUUCAAAGGUAUUCCAAAAGGAGGAGGUAAACUUCCUGGCCAUAAAAGAGCAGCCCCCAGGGUAAUUUCUGAGCCAACUCCACCAGGACCUCGAUGACCCAAUGGGUCUGGGGGCAUUCAACAUCAAGGAGAAGGAGAGGAGAGGGAGAGGCCAGGUGGAGAAGACCAAGACUAGGGAGCAGU